rnacentral:piRNA from 1 species
UCCCAGUUUUCGUCUCCUGGCGGGGGUUAU